AGCCGGUGCUUCCUUUGGGGGUACCGUCAAAAUUCUUCCCCCUGACAGUGCUUUACGGCCCUAAGGCCUUCAUCACACACGCGGCGUUGCUGCGUCAGGCUUUCGCCCAUUGCGCAAGAUUCCC
rnacentral:rRNA from 1 species